UACGUAGGUGGCAAGCGUUAUCCGGAUUUAUUGGGCGUAAAGAGAACGCAGGCGGUCUUUUAAGUCUGAUGUGAAAGCCUUCGGCUUAACCGGAGUAGUGCACUGGAAACUGGGAGACUUGAGUGCAGAAGAGGAGAGUGGAACUCCAUGUGUAGCGGUGAAAUGCGUAGAUAUAUGGAAGAACGCCAGUGGCGAAAGCGGCUCUCUGGUCUGUAACUGACGCUGAGGUUCGAAAGCGUGGGUAGCAAACAGG
rnacentral:rRNA from 1 species